rnacentral:miRNA from 1 species
UUACAGAGUCCAUUGAUUAAG